AACAGUGAUAGUUUUUCAUUAAAAAUAAACAGAAGUAACUCUGGAUAUGAGUUACACAAAAUAAGAUUAUAAGCACAGUAGCUGUGAUUUUAACUUUUCUUCUCUUCCAAAUGGGGAUUUCCCAGGAUGUCUCAAAUGGGCAGGCUCUGACUAAGACCUGUGGCAGAUCAGCCUUGCUCUGCUGCCGGAGCACUUUCAGCUGGAAGGUGCCGUGUGCUGAAGGAGCUCUUUAGUGACAGGAAGUGACUGGGUGCGAGAAGGUUUAUAGGGCUCCACUUCGGGCGACAAGGAAGUACGAGACUGACUGUAAAUGAUUUGGGGACUGUCCCCACAGAUUCUUCUCGGUGAGUAAACUAUGGAAGGGCACAUUGAGACGCAGCGGAAGGAAGGCAUUCUCUCUCUUACCUUUGCAGAACAGGAACUUCUGCGACUCGGCCCGGCCUCCGUGGUGACCCGCUUUGCACCAGAAGCAUUUCUCUCAAUCAGAGCCCGGAUCUGGCUGUCCAGCUCCAGGCUUUCACACCUGCCCAGGGGGACACAGGAAAGUCACAUUUUACAAAGGCCUUUCUGUUUAAAGAAAACAACCUGUUGGUGGCUCCAGCUGCAAUGUAGGCGGCUUGUAAAGGCGAUGUUAGGAGAAGCUUGAGAGAGAAGAGAUGAGGGUCGGGAAUCCACUCUUGCCCCUCCUUUCUGGAACUCCCCGGUUUUUAAAGUGACUAACACUGGGAAGUGACAAUCUGCCCUGUCACCCCAGUGAGCAAGCAGAGAGGACAGGGGAAGACACAUGAAUGAUUUGCAGGUAUAUUUGGAGCCCUCGUACGUUUAUUACUUGUUCAAAAGCAUCUGUACUUACAGGAGUCUCUAAAAAAUUACCUAAAGGAUGCAGCGUCUUUGAAUGCC